GUCUUCAAAUAGACUUUGACAACUCUGGGGUUUUGGUUUUAUAUCAACGGUUGUGAAUCAGGUAUUCUCUAAUUGGUUUCUGGGCUCUGAAAUCUGUCAACAAAAACUCCCCCAAAACUGCCGAGUACUGUACUAAAGAGAGUAUGCUAAGAAAGUACUCUUCUCAAGUGUUUUUA